UUCUCGGUAGUAGAGGGGUUAGUAUGCAAGCUUGUCAUGCUCGCUUGAGACCCGGGUUCGAUUCCCGGCCGGGAAG